AUGCGGAGGGUGCAAGCGUUAUCCGGAAUCAUUGGGUUUAAAGGGUCCGCAGGCGGAUUAAUAAGUCAGUGGUGAAAUCCUCUCGCUCAACGAGAGAACUGCCAUUGAAACUGUUAGUCUUGAAUUCGGUCGAAGUAGGCGGAAUGUGUCAUGUAGCGGUGAAAUGCAUAGAUAUGACACAGAACACCGAUAGCGAAGGCAGCUUACUAGACCUGGAUUGACGCUCAUGGACGAAAGCGUGGGGAGCGAACAGGAUUAGAAACCCCUGUAGUCC
rnacentral:rRNA from 1 species